rnacentral:lncRNA from 1 species
GGCAGAACUUAAAACCUCGUUAGGGGGGGAAGUAUAAUUGAUGUGGGGAAGUAUAAUUGAUGUUUACAUAGAAGUCUUUUAAAAAAUUUUAAAACUCUGUCAAAAGUUUCUCAAAGAAACCUCCAAUAAUAAUCACCAUAGACUAAUUAGUGAAACCUCCCAUUGAACUAAUGUUAUUACAGAUUUUAGGAACGCGUCACAUCAACUACCAAAGGGUGACAUAGUUUCUAACAGCAAUUUUAACAUUUAGAACUCCACUUGAGUUUCUAAAAAAGUUAAAUGAUAAUAUUUUAAAAAAUUUGUUAUCGAUGUUUACAUAGAAAUCUUUUAAAUUUUUUAAAAGUCUGUUAAAAGUUUCUCAAAGAAACCUCCAAUAAUAAUCACCGUAGACUAUUUAGUGAAUCAUAAAGACAUAUAUGUCAUACGUCUGGGACGGAUCGGGUAUCCGGACAAUUUUAAAAUAUCCGGAUCCG